rnacentral:rRNA from 1 species
GAUGAACGCUGGCGGCGUGCCUAAUACAUGCAAGUCGAGCGAACAGAAGAGGAGCUUGCUCCUCUGACGUUAGCGGCGGACGGGUGAGGAACACGUGGAUAACCUACCUAUAAGACUGGGAUAACUUCGGGAAACCGGAGCUAAGACCGGAUAAUAUAUUGAACCGCAUGGAUCAAUAGUGAAAGACGGUUUUGCUGUCACUUAUAGAUGGAUCCGCGCCGCAUUAGCUAGUUGGUAAGUCAACGGCCUACCAAGGCAACGAUGCGUAGCCGACCUGAGAGCGUGAUCGGCCGCACUAGAGCUUAGACACGGCCCGAACUCCUACAGGCGGCAUCGGUACGGGCUCUCCCGCGAUGGGCGACAGCCUGAUGGAGCCGCGCCGCGUGAGUGACGCAGAUCUUCGGAUCGUAAAGCUCUGUUAUUAGGGAUGCACAAAUGUGUAAGUAACUAUGCGCGUAUUGACGGUACCUAACCAGAAAGCCACGGCUAACUACGUG